rnacentral:rRNA from 1 species
CCUACGGGGGCUGCAGUGGGGAAUAUUGGACAAUGGGGGGAACCCUGAUCCAGCCAUGCCGCGUGUGUGAAGAAGGCCCUCGGGUUGUAAAGCACUUUCAGUGAGGAAGAACGCCUGGUGGUUAAUACCCAUCAGGAAAGACAUCACUCACAGAAGAAGCACCGGCUAACUCCGUGCCAGCAGCCGCGGUAAUACGGAGGGUGCGAGCGUUAAUCGGAAUUACUGGGCGUAAAGCGCGCGUAGGUGGCUUGAUAAGCCGGUUGUGAAAGCCCCGGGCUCAACCUGGGAACGGCAUCCGGAACUGUCAAGCUAGAGUGCAGGAGAGGAAGGUAGAAUUCCCGGUGUAGCGGUGAAAUGCGUAGAGAUCGGGAGGAAUACCAGUGGCGAAGGCGGCCUUCUGGACUGACACUGACACUGAGGUGCGAAAGCGUGGGUAGCAAACAGGAUUAGAUACCCCUGUAGUC